ensembl:lncRNA
UAUUUAUGAUAGACAUAGAGAGAGAGAGGCAGAGACACAGGCAGAGGGAGAAGCAGGCUCCAUGCAGGGAGCCCGACGCGGGACUCGAUCCCGGGUCUCCAGGAUCGCGCCCUGGGCCAAAGGCAGGCGCCAAACCGCUAAGCCACCCAGGGAUCUCAUGUCUUUUAUGUUUUAUAAAUAUUAAAACAAUGUUAUUAAUUGCUUAAGCUCAUAUUUAGGGCACAGAUCCAUUUUGAAUCAAGUUUUGUGCACAGAGUGAGGUAGGUGUGAGGGCUGAUUUGUAUGCAGCUUCUCCUGCCGCCAUGUCACCCUGACCAAGGACCUCUCUGGGAGCAGCUCUGCUCCCCUGCCCUCGGCUGGAUGGGGGCCUACACAUGCCUUUGGGAAGGCAUGUGGAAGGGCCGUCUCUCCAUCCCCCAGGGCUGGUACCGGGCUGUGGGGCCAGGCUGGUUGGGCGUGGCGGUGUGGCAUCCCCACCCUGUCCGGCCUGGUUCUUCUCCCCUCCCCCAGGCCAUGUGAGAGCCUGCACAGAAAGUCUGCGCAGGAGGACAGGGCCAGACACGCGGCUGUCCUCUGCCUCUCCUGCUCUCUGCAGCGUGCUGUGUUCAAUCCCUGAGUGGGCCCCCCACACCCCAGUGUGCCCUACUCCGGGCGACACCCUCUCCCAGGCCUGCAUGUCGCUCAUCUUUCUCCCAGGGUGUCAGAAAUCUCUGGAACCUCCCCUCUAAAGAGAAUUGUGGGACACAGAAGGCGUCCAAGACCAUGGGGCAUUUUGAGGUUGGGUAGAUGAUGUGCCGGGUGAGAAAAGCAGCUUCCCCAGGCUGGAGACAGAGUGAGGAAGACCAAUGGAGCCCUCCCGGGAGCCGAGGUAGGUGGGAAACACUGCCCCUGUGCCAGCUGGGCAGCCAGCCACGGGCAUCAAGCUGAAAAGUCUGUUUUUUGUCAUGGGACUGCCCCAGCUGCCCACCCCUGCCAGACCUGGGCGAACCGGAAGCCUGCUGAGGUUCCUCCCACCCAGAGGGCUGGAUCCAGGCAGGCACCAGGACUUUGUUCCUUGGGCUUGUCUGGCUCUGAGCCUAAGGUCUGAGCAGCACUUAGCUUCUGAACUGUGCCCUCCACCUCCUGCCCCCGCCGUGUGCCCAGAGCACCUGGCUUCUGGGGCCCCAGGGGAGCCAUGGACCCCAGAGGCUUCUGGGGAAAGAGUGCCAGCCCCUGGCUGUGCGGCUUCCUGCUCUUUGCUGCCUGCCUGGGCUUCUACAGGUAAGGGGUGGGGGAUGAUCCUGGGGACCCUAUGGCAGGUUGGGAUUAAUUAUGGCUUAUUUGACUGUAGUUAACAAAACCAGUGAGGGUUGGCCCACAACAAUGAUCCCAGAGAAAGUGUGACCAGCACUGUCAUGAUCAUUUUGCACAUGAUGAAACCAAGGGAAUGUGGUGGUAUCCCAGCCUCACUCACCCCACUUCACGGGGGCACAGACUCCCAGCCAGCCCACUGCUCUGCUCCCCAGUGGACAUUUAUAGGUGCCAGGGGUGUGGAGGGCCUCAGCCUGUUAGAAACACCAGUUACCUCAACAUACGGAACUCCCAUCAUGCUGCAAAUACAUUUGUGGAAAACAGAUAACAUUUUUUUUGUUAUUAGUUUAAAACAAACAAUAAAGUUGAUGUUUUAAAACA